GCCUGAGAAACGGCUACCACAUCCAAGGAAGGCAGCAGGCGCGCAAAUUACCCACUCCCGGCACGGGGAGGUAGUGACGAAAAAUAACGAUACGGGACUCAUCCGAGGCCCCGUAAUCGGAAUGAGUACACUUUAAAUCCUUUAACGAGGAUCAAUUGGAGGGCAAGUCUGGUGCCAGCAGCCGCGGUAAUUCCAGCUCCAAUAGCGUAUAUUAAAGUUGUUGCGGUUAAAAAGCUCGUAGUUGAAUCUGUGUCCCACGCUGUCGGUUCACCGCUCGCGGUGUUCAACUGGCAUGAUUGUGGUACGUCCUACCGGUGGGCUUAGCCUCCCCGUCAAAAGGGGGGCGGCCCAGCUUAUAUCCCAUCGCGGUGCUCUUUACCGAGUGUCGAGGUGGGCCGGUACGUUUACUUUGAACAAAUUAGAGUGCUUAAAGCAGGCCAAUUUCGCCUGAAUACUGUGUGCAUGGAAUAAUGGAAUAGGACCUCGGUUCUAUUUUGUUGGCUUUCGGAACCCCGAGGUAAUGAUUAAUAGGAACAGAUGGGGGCAUUCGUAUUGCGACGUUAGAGGUGAAAUUCUUGGAUCGUCGCAAGACGGACAGAAGCGAAAGCAUUUGCCAAAAAUGUUUUCUUUAAUCAAGAACGAAAGUUAGAGGUUCGAAGGCGAUCAGAUACCGCCCUAGUUCUAACCAUAAACGAUGCCAGCUAGCGAUCCGCCGAAGUUCCUCCGAUAACUCGGCGGGCAGCUUCCGGGAAACCAAAGCUUUUGGGUUCCGGGGGAAGUAUGGUUGCAAAGCUGAAACUUAAAGGAAUUGACGGAAGGGCACCACCAGGAGUGGAGCCUGCGGCUUAAUUUGACUCAACACGGGAAACCUCACCAGGCCCGGACACCGGAAGGAUUGACAGAUUGAGAGCUCUUUCUUGAUUCGGUGGGUGGUGGUGCAUGGCCGUUCUUAGUUGGUGGAGCGAUUUGUCUGGUUAAUUCCGAUAACGAACGAGACUCUAGCCUGCUAAAUAGGCGUACUUACCGGUAUCUCGAAGGCCCCCGGCCUCGGUCGCGGGGUUUUUACUACCGGCGUACAAAUAAAUCUUCUUAGAGGGACAGGCGGCUUCUAGCCGCACGAGAUUGAGCAAUAACAGGUCUGUGAUGCCCUUAGAUGUUCUGGGCCGCACGCGCGC
rnacentral:rRNA from 1 species